GAUGUUAGCGGCGGACGGGUGAGUAACACGUGGAUAACCUACCUAUAAGACUGGGAUAACUUCGGGAAACCGGAGCUAAUACCGGAUAAUAUUUUGAACCGCAUGGUUCAAAAGUGAAAGACGGUCUUGCUGUCACUUAUAGAUGGAUCCGCGCUGCAUUAGCUAGUUGGUAAGGUAACGGCUUACCAAGGCAACGAUGCAUAGCCGACCUGAGAGGGUGAUCGGCCACACUGGAACUGAGACACGGUCCAGACUCCUACGGGAGGCAGCAGUAGGGAAUCUUCCGCAAUGGGCGAAAGCCUGACGGAGCAACGCCGCGUGAGUGAUGAAGGUCUUCGGAUCGUAAAACUCUGUUAUUAGGGAAGAACAUAUGUGUAAGUAACUGUGCACAUCUUGACGGUACCUAAUCAGAAAGCCACGGCUAACUACGUGCCAGCAGCCGCGGUAAUACGUAGGUGGCAAGCGUUAUCCGGAAUUAUUGGGCGUAAAGCGCGCGUAGGCGGUUUUUUAAGUCUGAUGUGAAAGCCCACGGCUCAACCGUGGAGGGUCAUUGGAAACUGGAAAACUUGAGUGCAGAAGAGGAAAGUGGAAUUCCAUGUGUAGCGGUGAAAUGCGCAGAGAUAUGGAGGAACACCAGUGGCGAAGGCGACUUUCUGGUCUGUAACUGACGCUGAUGUGCGAAAGCGUGGGGAUCAAACAGGAUUAGAUACCCUGGUAGUCCACGCCGUAAACGAUGAGUGCUAAGUGUUAGGGGGUUUCCGCCCCUUAGUGCUGCAGCUAACGCAUUAAGCACUCCGCCUGGGGAGUACGACCGCAAGGUUGAAACUCAAAGGAAUUGACGGGGACCCGCACAAGCGGUGGAGCAUGUGGUUUAAUUCGAAGCAACGCGAAGAACCUUACCAAAUCUUGACAUCCUUUGACAACUCUAGAGAUAGAGCUUUCCCCUUCGGGGGACAAAGUGACAGGUGGUGCAUGGUUGUCGUCAGCUCGUGUCGUGAGAUGUUGGGUUAAGUCCCGCAACGAGCGCAACCCUUAAGCUUAGUUGCCAUCAUUAAGUUGGGCACUCUAAGUUGACUGCCGGUGACAAACCGGAGGAAGGUGGGGAUGACGUCAAAUCAUCAUGCCCCUUAUGAUUUGGGCUACACACGUGCUACAAUGGACA
rnacentral:rRNA from 1 species